rnacentral:lncRNA from 1 species
GCAGAAGACAAAGGCCAAACUUUCACCUGCUCUUGACUCCCUAUGAAUGGCCUUUAGAGGCAUCUUGCCUCUCUCUCCAAUUUGGAGAUAGUAUCUGGGCAUCCAUUCUAGUAUCCAUUGAUAUACCUGAUCUCCAUGAAUUUGCUUAAACCAUAAAAACAUAAGAGAAGCCCUGCUAGAUCAAGCCACAACCCAGCAAGGGUUGCCAAAAGCUGUAGAAAAUCUGCCAAACAUAAGAUACACCUGUUCCCCCCACCCCUUUUCCUAUGGCUAAGUUAAUUGGUUUGGCAAUUUCUGUGGCCAGUUUUGAGCAUUCUCAAGCAGAAGACAAUGGCAAACUCCUCACCUGCUGCCUAUGCAAGGAACAGCACAUUCUUGUGGGCAGCUUUGCUGGAAAUUUUUCAUCUAUAAACAGCCCGUUUCUUGUUACCAUCCAGAAGAAACAAGGAAAGAAUGUUGCAUCUCGCAUUAAUGCACGAUUUCAUCUGGAAAGAGCACCUAGCCUCAACAUGCUGUUCUGCUCUGAAAACAGAGAUCUUCCUUUGGCACUGAACUAUGUGUUAUACUUCCAUUGAUAUGAGCACCAGCCACUUGCGAGAUCUGGAGAAAUUAUUUGCAGAGAAAAAUGCAAUGGUGGGUGCCAUACAAGAGACAAAUUAGCUGGUCAUUUUCCCUGCUGCAUAUUAUGCACUGAACCUUAAAAGAGUUUCANAUGAGGAGAAUGGAGGAUUUCACUGUAUGUUUAUGUUUGGGAAGGCAGAGUUGCGAAAUGGUUAGAACCUCAGCGAUCAAGUUCCUGGGUGACAGAAAAAGAGUUUAGGCUGUGUUGAGGAGACUCUGGGAAAAAGUAUGGAUGUUCAUUGUGGAAACUUUGCACUCUGCUGUGAAGCUUUUCUUUGGGGGGGGGAGGGGGAAUUGAUUUAAGAAUUAUAUGACCAGACUGCAGAAUUUAACACAGAGGACAGGGAGCUGAUGAUGAAAUUCUGCAAUGAAUUCUAUUCACCCAUUUUGCUCAGUGUCUUGCUCAAAGGUUGCUGACUCAUCUUAUUCCUCCUGGCAAACAAUGUGUUGUAUUGAAA